rnacentral:tRNA from 1 species
CGACAUAGCUCAGUUGGUAGAGCAGGUGCUUCGUAAGCACUUGGUCGGAGGUUCAAGUCCUCUUGUCGG